GAUGAACGCUAGCUACAGGCUUAACACAUGCAAGUCGAGGGGAAACGAUAUUGGAAGCUUGCUUCCGAUAGGCGUCGACCGGCGCACGGGUGAGUAACGCGUAUCCAACCUGCCCGUCACUUGGGGAUAACCUUGCGAAAGUAAGACUAAUACCCGAUGAUAUCCCUAGACGACAUCUGAAAGGGAUUAAAGAUUUAUCGGUGAUGGAUGGGGAUGCGUCUGAUUAGCUUGUUGGCGGGGUAACGGCCCACCAAGGCAACGAUCAGUAGGGGUUCUGAGAGGAAGGUCCCCCACAUUGGAACUGAGACACGGUCCAAACUCCUACGGGAGGCAGCAGUGAGGAAUAUUGGUCAAUGGGCGAGAGCCUGAACCAGCCAAGUAGCGUGCAGGAUGACGGCCCUAUGGGUUGUAAACUGCUUUUAUACGGGGAUAAAGUGAGCCACGUGUGGCUUAUUGCAGGUACCGUAUGAAUAAGGACCGGCUAAUUCCGUG
rnacentral:rRNA from 1 species